UCCUGAGCGCGGCGAGGGGAGAGCCGGGGGAGUGCAUGGGGGCCUCUGCCCAUAUGCAUCUGCUGCAGGAGCCCCCAGAAGGCAGCUCCUCCCUGUGGAGCUGCUGCAGCGGCCCAAGCCCGGCAAAGCCAGACCAAUUCCGAUGGAACCCCACCAGAAACAAACUUUUGGUUUUGUGGAACCUUGUUUUUUCAGCAUUUAAAUUUUGGUCUACAUUAGAAUUGACAUUCACUUUUGACUUCUGAGGUGCUGUGCUCAAAACAUGGGGCCCUGGUCCUGCAAUCAGAUCCACAUGGUGGAUCUUUGCAAUCAUACAGAGAUUGAAGUCAAUGGAGCUCUGCACAGUUGCAGAAGUCCACUUAGACAUGUCCAGUUGCAGGAUCAUGCCCAUAGUUAUAUGAUCCGCAUAUCAAAUUGUGAUGAAAUUAAAAGUGGCUAUGCCUACAUUAUUUAGUUUUCAAAGCAUUACGUUUCUAUAUUUCUUAAAUUCUACAUGCGCCUCCUAAGUUAGGCCAAAGAUACAUGAUUGUGACUUCCAACAGAACCCCAGUUGCAUGACACUCUUUGCAGUAACUGUUAUAUCUUGUAUUUAAUUGCCUGUAAAACUUGCUGCUAAUAGAAUGUAAAAUAUUACUAUAAAGUAUAGUCUGAAUUACAAUUAAAAACACUACUAAGUAUAAA